rnacentral:rRNA from 1 species
GCCUGAGAGAUCAGGUGUUCCCUUCGGGGACAAAAUGACAGGUGGUGCAUGGUUGUCGUCACCUCGUGUCGUGAGAUGUUGGGUUAAGUCCCGCAACGAGCGCAACCCUUAUUGCCAGUUGCCAGCAUUCAGUUGGGCACUCUGACAAGACUGCCGGUGACAAACCGGAGGAAGGUGGGGAUGACGUCAAAUCAUCAUGCCCCUUAUGACCUGGGCUACACACGUGCUACAAUGGACGAUACAACGAGUUGCUAGACCGCGAGGUUAAGCUAAUCUCUUAAAGUCGUUCUCAGUUCGGAUUGCAGGCUGCAACUCGCCUGCAUGAAGUUGGAAUCGCUAGUAAUCGCGGAUCAGCAUGCCGCGGUGAAUACGUUCCCGGGUCUUGUACACACCGA